rnacentral:rRNA from 1 species
UACGUAGGGUGCGAGCGUUGUUCGGAAUUACUGGGCGUAAAGGGCUCGUAGGUGGCCAACUAAGUCAGACGUGAAAUCCCUCGGCUUAACCGGGGAACUGCGUCUGAUACUGGAUGGCUUGAGUUUGGGAGAGGGACGCGGAAUUCCAGGUGUAGAGGUGAAAUUCGUAGAUAUUCGCAAGAACACCAGUGGCGAAGGCGGCUUACUGGUCCGGUUCUGACGCUGAGGCGCGAAAGCGUGGGGAGCAAACAGG